rnacentral:tRNA from 1 species
GCUGGCUUAGCUCAAUUGGUAGAGCAGCUGCCUUGUAAGCAGCAGGUUGGGGGUUCAAGUCCCUUAGCCAGCUCCG